UAAUCAGAUGAUGCCCUGCCAGGCUUCCUAGAAGUCUCAAAGGUCUGGGCAGAUGCAAAGUAUCUGGAGGCUGCGGGCGGGGUUUUCUAAGUCCUACCCACACCAAGGCUGAGGAGUAUAUGUAAAUCAGAUGCGGAGAAGUCUAGCUCCUAGGCUUUCUUGAGGCCCCAACAGCGGAUGAGGCACGUGUCAAAUAUUUGCGAAACUGUCUCGCUAAAGUCCCAAAAGGGAGGAGCACAUAGAAAGUAGUUGGAUGGAAUGUGACAUGGCUCCCUUGGGUUCCAGAGAAAAGCUCCACACUCACGUUAAUUGGCUGGUUGGGCAGGGCCAGAUUCUCAAAGGUUCUCUGAUGGGCCGGACUAUGUAAAUCAUUUUAGGCGGGGCAAGACCGUGUUCCCAGCAGUUUACAAGCCGGAUAGUACAGAAAAGCUGGGCUUGACUUUGGCGCACCGGAGCCCCUGUUACAUUCCGAUCUCCCGCCUCUUCCUUUGGCGUCCUUCCACCUGAGGCGGGCGGAGCUCCUGGCGUCACAGUUGGUGAUCAACGCUGCGGACAGAGACCACUUAGUGCGUGGGGGACCAUGGAGGCCUCGGCCGAUUCCUCUGAGGCCUCCGCCGCCUGCCGCUUCUUCCUAGAGGGCCGCUGUCGCUUUGGUGCGCGCUGCCGUCAGCCACAUCCCGGGGCCCCGGCGCCGUCCCCCGAGGUUGCGCAGCCUGAGGCCCGGUCUAAGAAGCCUGCUCUGCGUACUGCUGCUGACGUCAUCCGGCGUAUCCGCUGGGACCCGCGCCUGGAUCCCGCUGACUUUUCUGUGGGCUACACUGACCGCUUCCUGGGUGUGCAGGAAGAGCCAUUCUGUGCCUUUUGCUGGGACGAGCCGCUAGCAGCGCUCGGACCCGGCGUUUUGGCGGUGCCGCAGCACCGCAUUCGCUACUUCCGCUUCCGCGGCCGC
rnacentral:lncRNA from 1 species